rnacentral:tRNA from 1 species
UCCAGGGUAGCCUAGUGGACAUGGCAUCUGCCCGGUAAGCGGAAGGUCGUGGGUUCGACUCCCGCCCCUGGAC